rnacentral:lncRNA from 1 species
CUUUAUGAAACCAGACUUCUCUGAUGGAUAAUCUUCAGACAAGCUUCCACAUCAGGUGAAUCCCAGAUGGACUUCUCUAGCAAUCGGACUCCUACCGGACUUCACCAACGAAAAGUCUCCAUCCGAGCUUCUACAGUAGAUGACUCCCGCCUGUGGUAUCAGCGCCUGAGGCGUCCGACAACAGUAGACUCAUCAGCAGCCUCAAAAAUAUCCGAGCUUCUCCUAGAUUGACGGGAUAGAGAGCUAUUCUGCUCCAUCAGAUAUUCCAGCUGAGCUCCAGCCGA